AUUGAACGCUGGCGGCAGGCCUAACACAUGCAAGUCGAACGAGUGGCGGACGGGUGAGUAAUGUCUGGGAAACUGCCCGAUGGAGGGGGAUAACUACUGGAAACGGUAGCUAAUACCGCAUACCAUCGGAUGUGCCCAGAUGGGAUUAGCUAGUAGGUGGGGUAACGGCUCACCUAGGCGACGAUCCCUAGCUGGUCUGCGAGGCUGACACGCCACACUGGAACUGAGACACGGUCCAGAAUCCUAAGGGAGGCAGCAGUGGGGAAUAUUGCACAAUGGGCGCAAACCUGAUGCAGCAAUGCCGCGUGUAUGAAGAAGGCCUUCUGGUUGUAAAGUACUUUCAGCGAGGAGGCGGUACUCGCAGAAGAAGCACCGGCUAACUCCGUGCCAGCAGCCGCGGUAAUUC
rnacentral:rRNA from 1 species